rnacentral:rRNA from 1 species
AUCCAGAGAAUUUAGCAGAGAUGCUUUAGUGCCUUCGGGAACUCUGAGACAGGUGCUGCAUGGCUGUCGUCAGCUCGUGUUGUGAAAUGUUGGGUUAAGUCCCGCAACGAGCGCAACCCUUUAUCCUUUGUUGCCAGCACGUAAUGGUGGGAACUCAAAGGAGACUGCCGGUGAUAAACCGGAGGAAGUGGGGAUGACGUCAAGUCAUCAUGGCCCUUACGAGUAGGGCUACACACGUGCUACAAUGGCGCAUACAAAGAGAAGCGACCUCGCGAGAGCAAGCGGACCUCAUAAAGUGCGUCGUAGUCCGGAUUGGAGUCUGCAACUCGACUCCAUGAAGUCGGAAUCGCUAGUAAUCGUAAAUCAGAAUGUUACGGUGAAUACGUUCCCGGGCCUUGUACACACCGCCCGUCACACCAUGGGAGUGGGUUGCAAAAGAAGUAGAUAGCUUAACCUUCGGGAGGGCGUUUACCACUUUGUGAUUCAUGACUGGGGUGAAGUCGUAACAAGGUAGGCGUAGUGCU